UCUAUGAUUUCACGAGUGGUCCCCUUCUCGGGGCCCAAGCACCAGCUUGCAGAUGAGGUCUUGACCUCUUCUCGAGCUGGCGCCCGGCAGUCCUGCCAUUCGUGGUGAGCUGUCGGGGCCCCGUCGGGCUCAGGCCCGUCGGAGGGGUGUCCCAUCACCUCGAUCCCGUCCCCUCGAGGAACGACUCGAUGA
rfam:Synechococcus sp. KORDI-100, complete genome.